GCACGCUUAGCUCAGUGGUAGAGCAACGCUUUUACACAGCGAGGGUCGUAGGUUCGAAUCCUACAGCGUGCA
rnacentral:tRNA from 1 species